UCUAUACAGUGAGUUCCUGAGGCCCUAAGGGAAGGAUCCUAGCUGGAGAAUGAGUUUGCUCCAGUGGGCAACAAGCCAGGGCUUUAGGGUUUUGACAGAGCAAAAGAAGCGCCUCGCUGACCUGAGACAAAUUGGUCUGACUGUGCUGCAAAAGCCAGGCUCAAGAUGUGCAUAGGUAACCCGCACCUUGCCAGAGCACUUGGGACUUAGGGCAGGGAAGCAUCCAUCCCUGAGACCUGGCAGUGGCACGGAGUGUGGUGGCCUGCCAGCCCUCCCUGUCAGCAUGCCUGGCUGUGGGGGCAUAAUGUAUCAGGAUAUGUAUGUCACCGCCAGCAUCCAUGGGGAAUCCCAAGCCUAAAAACCCCGCAAAACUAUUUUGCAUCCCCACCUACGGCAAUAUUGUAGGCUAUAAAUUUUGCAUGUGGUCACUGUACUCUUCCAGAGUGUGUAGGCGGCUGUCAGCUUCCUAAUCCUGGAUUUAUUGGCAGCGAUGAGAGGAGAGAGAAGGCUCUUGUCAGGAACCAAGAGGACAAGAAUCUUCUUGGCACUUUGGAGGACUCUCCCAUUGGUAGUUACGUGCAGCGGGGUCCCCACAGGCUCCCAGGAAUGUCACCCUUCCCAAACCACCACAAGCAACCCCCUAAGUUUCCAAUAAAACCCACUGCCCUCAGUUUUCCUCCCUUUGCCAUAUGCACAUACUGAGUGGCAAUCCAGCAGCAGCACCCUCACCGCCGCUGCUGAGGAGCUCAGGCAGAGCCACCAGCCCAAGCUGUACCUCCUUGCCCCCAGUUUCAGGUACCGGGGAUUUCACUGGAGCAAGACAGGAGCCCUGGGAUGAGCCUGCGCCUCUGCUGACUUCAGAGACAAACCUCCACACCCCAAGCUCCUCCUGGGGCAUGGGAAGAGGUUUUGGCAUCUACCUCCUUCUGCUGUGACAGGAGUCUAAAGCACCCUGGGAAGCCAGCAGAUCAUCUGCAAAAUGUUAAUGUAAAGUGUUCCCAUUUAAAGAUCCCUUUGCAUUGCAAGAGCCAUGUGAAGCAGUCUCUAUAGACAGGAGCAGCGCCCAAAUUAAGCUAGUGUGGAAGAAAGAGGAACAAGAAACCUUUGUAAAAGGCCCCGUGAAAUCCUCCCGUGCAAGAGAGUCCAUCCGCCGUGUAGGCAGGCGGCAUGAUUAGCGACGGGCGACACCGUCCACCCUGGUGCCAGGGAGCUUCUCGGAUCCACUCUACCAUCCAGGCAAGACGUGACUCACGCAGCUCGCUUGCAACGAAGGAGGACCAUCUGCUAGUCAUGAGCAGAUGACAAAUUCACUGCAUUGCGUCUUGUCGCUACUUCCAAAUUUCACAGCCUCUUUGUUCCAGAACGUUAUGAUGAUGACCAAAUGCCUCUGUCUGAUAACUUGGGCAAGUCGCAGAGAACCAUGCUGCCUGUCCAUGCCAGGUGCUUCCCACUGAGGUUAUAUGAAGAUCACCUGUGAUGAGGCUUUCUGGUUUCUCUGUGUUAUUAAAGAACUGACCUGGCGUGGCAUGCAGGUCUAUGCCAGG